AGCAAUAUAGUGCACGAUCCCGGAUGCAAAUUUCUAUUCGAGGAGAUGACAAAGCGAACGAUCGUAGACGUGAAAGUGAUCGACACAGAGAAGCGUCGCCUUUCUAGCAAACAUUACGUUUACAAGAUCAGUGUGACGUGGUCAGAAGGCUCAACGUUAGUCAUUUACCGUCGCUACAGCAAAUUCUUCGAAAUGCAGAUGAAGUUGACGAGAGCAUCACAGACCCCAUUGUAUUAGAGCAAUACACGACCAUUGCAGAUUACAGAAAGCAGCAGAAGAAUGAAGUCAACUUGAAAGGUGGGGAGCUCAUUGAGAUCGUAUGAGAACGAAUGGUGGUUUGUUCGUGUUGAUUAUGAGCAGCGGUGGGUGCUUGCCUUGUACUUAGAGAAGGCAGAUGGGACAGAAGAGCCAGAAGGAAAGAGAUUAAAGCCAGGGAAAGAUAUCUAGACAACACUUGAAUGCACUCAGACUUACAAUCAACUUGCUUCAGAGUUGAUGAUACUUGCAGUGACGAUACCAACACUAACAUAGGAAAUACGAUGUUGUGCAAGAAGGACGCAUGAUGAUCAGAAGAGAUUAAUAAGUGUGACCAUGUGCACUCUACUCUUUGAUGUUCCACACGCGCAAAUUGUGAUGGUCAGAAGUCCAAGGCUUCGUUCGUACUACUUUUGUUUUGAAGAUGGCAACAGUUGACGCUUGCUUUUUCAAGUACCUUUGUCUCUCAGAUGGAACUCCACGUGCUGUGAGUUGAUAAAUUGGUGUGUGACAAUUUGGGAGAUCAAUGCAAAAGGGUGCUUUUCAGACAAUGACAUCUCAUCUGUAGCAAUUAGCAACAUGAGCUGUUGGACAGGAAGUUGGAAAGUGGGAGGUUGGUAAUGGGGAAGUAUUUGAGACCAUGUUUGGUAGAUGACCUUUUCACACAUUAGAUUAUGUGGAAAUGUUCUAUUUCAGACUAGAACGCAACUCCCCCUUGGAUGUGAGGGUGUGUGAGGAGGAGUAUAUAAGAGCAAGCUCACCAGCUCACUUCAUCAGUAUCGAGGAUAUCGGUCAUCAUCAUGUUUUCAUUUUUUGUGACAGUUCUUGUGCUCAUUCAAGUCAUUGCUACUUGUGGUGGUCAAAGUGUGUCAGAUGAGAGAAAUCAGCAGACAUGUAUGUCUGCUGGUGUACCUGGAGUACCUGGAUCACCUGGAGUUAAUGGAUCACCCGGACGAGAUGGAAUGAAAGGAGAAAAGGAAUGAAGGGAGAGAAAGGAUUAGUUGGAGAUGUUGGUGCACAAGGAACAAAAGGAGAAGGAAGGAAAGGAGAGAAAGGAAUAAAGGGAGAGAGAGGAUUAGUUGGAGAUGUCGGUGGUAAAGGUAAUGCUGGGAAGAUAGGUCCACAAGGUCCAUGAGGUCCGCGAGGGAUAAAAGGAGAAACAGGAAGGAAAGGAGAGAAAGGAGAAGCUAUGACACUCAACUGGAAACAGUGUGUGUGGAAUAGAGUGGAUGAUAAGGACAGCGGUCUGAUUCAGAACUGUAAUUUUAGGAAACAUGACAGCAAUUCAGCUCUACAUGUUGCAUAUGCAGGAAAUCUCAGGGUUUACUGCUCCAGUGGUUCUUGCUGUUCUCGAUGGUAUUUUACAUUCAACGGUAACGAGUGCAGUGGACCUAUGACUAUUGAGGGAGUUGUGUAUAGUAGACUACCUGAUAAUCCUCACCGUCACAGACAGAUUGAGGGAUAUUGUGAGAACAUUCCAGCAGGUCAAGUCACAAUUGGAUUCAACAUUGGAAACUGUAGAUAUACAUCAACAACGUAUAAUGGCGAAACAGGAUGGCAAUCAGUAUCUCGCAUUAUGAUUGCAGAAGUUCCUCCAUCACAAAAGUAACUGAAUUAGAGAGAAAUUAGAACUUGUGUUCAGUAUAGUUUGCAGUACGUACAGUACGAGGUAGCUGAAGUAGGAGGCUGGAUGGUGUGUGUGCAUGUCUUUAUUUGCUGUAUGUGAGUGUUUGUAUGAUUAAUUCAACGUGUAGCUGCAACUAAUAAUCAAUAUCAUCCGUCAAAGUUACA